rnacentral:lncRNA from 1 species
CUCCCUUCCUCCCCCGACUCCUUCUCUCCUCCCUUCUUUCUCCCCUCCCCAUCACCGCUCUUUUUGGUGUGUUGCUCACUUUCUCCUCAGUUUGUCCAAACACUUUCAGUUUUCACUUUCAGGAAGUGUUGAGGUCCACACCCAACUCAGGCUCUCCAUCCCUGAGGGGAAGCACGUGGCUGUCCCCUUUCGGUGGAUUUCAAGCAUCCCUGGCGCAGGUGCAGCGGCCUUGCCCUGGGCUCACCAGCAGCCUUUGGGGUCCCAGUUGGCAGGCAGCCCUGUUCCCUGGGGGUCCCUGCCGGAGCUGCUGGUCCCUGGAGCUACCCCGUGGUACGGUUCAUCUGGACCAGCCUCUGAUGUGGGGAAGACCAAGCGAGAGCACACUGCGGAGAGCCCAAAAGUCAGAUGUCCUGGCUUAAGCUGCUGAAGCCACCUUGGACCAUGAGUGAUCUUGAGAAUGGAAGCCACUGUCUAGAUGUUGGAACAAAGACAAUGGCCUGGGCCUCCCUGAUGACACCGCAGAGUCACCGUAUGUGUCCUGGAGUACUUGCUCUCUGCUUCUUUUUCAUGAGAGAUAAGUACAUUUUUAUCUUCUUUAGGCCACUGCUAUAUUUUUCCCGUUAAACACAGCUAUAUCCAAUCCUAACUGGUUCAACCUAUAAAAUGUGAUUAUUUCUUGUUUUAAGAUAACUAUAGCUACCAAUUAUUUUGCACUUAGUAGCUGCCAGACACUGUACUAAGUGUUUUAUGGGUGUCACCUUAUCUAAUUUGCACAACAAGAAUACUUACAAGGUAGGUAUUAUUAUCUAUAAUUUACAAAUGAGAAAAUGGAGGCUUAGAAAGCUUACAUAGUAUCUACAGGGUCAUAUUGAAAAAAGCAGAGUUCUAAACCAGGUUGGGAUGACCCCAAAACUUGUUCUAAUCUUAAUCACUGUUAUCAGUGUAAUGCAGUUAUUAUCCUCUGUGGGUAAAAGAUGCUAUUCCUGAUUCACUCACGGCAAUACGAAAUAUACAAGGAGCACAGUGUUGGCUAAUAUUUCUAGAGACUCUUACGGAAUUGUCAAGAUGUAGACAACUUUAUGUCCAAUCUGCUCCCUGAACAAGAUUGACAACAAAGACCCGGCUUGCCUUCUGUAUCACAGAUGACAACUAUCCCCAAACCUUACCUAGGUUGUCAAACAUUCACCUUUAUAAGAGAUUUGCAAACAGAAAUAACACUGACUGCAAAACUGAUGGCGGGGAUUAAAUAAGAGGAUAUAUGUAAAAUGCAUAGAAGAAAAUCAGGUACACAGUAAAUGCUUGAUGAAUGGUACCUGACGGCACCAUUAUUUAAGGGAUCCACAGUGAGACUGUGAAAAUUUUCAGGAGUCAGAAAUAUUAGGUUCAACCACAACCUCUGCAACUUGCUAGUUAUGUGAACAUUGUUCAGUCAUUUAACUUUUUGGCUUCUAAUUUUCUGAGGAAUACAUUAUUUAUAUAACAGAACUGUAAUUGGGGAUAAAGCCUUUCCAGUCCCCAUCCCAGUGCCUGACGCAUUUUAGAAUCCCAGCCAAUGAAAUUCUUCUCACUAUUAUUCUCACAGAAUUCUAAUGAACAUACUACCAACAGUGAUUUUCUCCUUGGCCCAUUAACCACACGGAAGGGAGUAUUCGCUGUGGAGUGCCUCUGUAGCUGAGGGCCCCUGGCGCGUGGUUUCAUCAGAGGCAGACAGCUGCGUGAGUCACUGUGGUGGGCAGUGUGCUGGGCCACCCUGCGGGUCCUGCCAGAGUGCUGUGGAAUUCAAGUUUGUCUUCUCCAGUUUUAGUCUCUGCACGUGCGUUGGUCUCCUUUCUGCCCCUACAGUGUGGCCAAGGCCAUUCCAGCCUCAGGAGGGCAAGAGGAGGCCUGUUGGAUGCAUCCUGAAAACACAGGCCAUCACUGUGGGUGAGAUCUACCAGGACAGAUGCCAUUCUGCAAAGCUCCUAGUGGUAAAGCAAUUUGCAGGACAACCAUGGAAGAAAGGUGCCCGCCUUCUCUAAGCUGACAUGGCCCCGCUCCCUCCCUCAGUCUGUAGCCUCAGGAGGGGACUGCUUUGCCUGUGAGUGGGAGGGAGCUACCGUGUGAGUAGUUCCCAACAGACCAUCUGAAGUCAUUUUCCCAGGUGGCAGGAGAAACACAGAGCCAGACGUUACACUGCUUUUCAAAGAGGUAAGCUCUUUUUUUUUAACUGCUAUUUAAAACUCCAAACAAAAAUGAAGCUGUGGAUGCAUGCAAGAAUGAAGCCUAAGCAAAAAUAACUCUUCAAAAAGGAAGCAGGUUUUUUGGAGAGGGUGUGUGUGUGAGGGCGGGGCGGGGGCGAGUCCUUCAAUGUGGUUUUGAAAUUAAGGUCCAUGUUCUGUGAUAAUAAGCUAUGUAUCAAUGAGAAAGGCUGAGAUUAUGACAAGAGGAAAAGGAGUAAAGGAUUUGGCGGUUUAAUCACGUUUCUAUUCUUUUUUAUAUCUGCAUCUUCUUUGAAUGCAAGUAUCAAGUUCUGUUUGGCUUUUGUGGAAAGCCAUUUCCGAAGACCUGCCUUACUUGACUGUUUCUCCCUCUCUGGCUCUCCUGUUACCAACGUCCUAGAGUUGCCUCUGCUGCCCCAGCGAGGAUGGCGACACAAACAGCGGUGGUGUCAGCGGACAGCGGUGGUGUCAGCGGUGACCGAGGCAGGGCCGAGACUCCAGGGCCCUUCGGGUUCAAGCUGUGCCCCCUCGCGCAGUUCAGCACCUGCCAGCACUUCCAAGUGUGUGAUUGUCACGCUUGCCUGAUUACUCCUUCCUUUGGGCUCCCAUAGCAAUUUGUACAUUACUGUGGAAUUGAUCAAAUUGCUUUAUAACUAGCUGUUUAUGUGUCUUUAAUCUGUGUCAUUUUGGAUGGCAGGAAAUGCUCUUUCGGUAAUUUUUUUGUCCACACUGACUGGAAUACUGGUUGGCACAUAGUAGGUAUUCAACAGUUUUUUAUCGAGGGAAUGAAAGCUCUCUAAACCACAGCAAUCAUUUGUAGACAAAGACUCUUAGGGUGUAAUGUGAUUUAACAUCUGAUUUUUGGAAAAUAGUUACUGAGAUCAUUCCGACAAUAAUAGAGUGCAAUACCCUACCUUGAAUAAAGGAUAUUUUACUCCUUU